UUACGCACCGGAACUGCUCGGCACAAAAAAUAGGACUUAUGAUCACCCGAGUUCUAGACCUCAAUAGUUUGUUCACAGGUCACAUAAUUUAAGGUGCAAUGAAAUGAAAGUCAGGCAUUUCCUCCUAUUCUGGCCUCUAAGUUGAAGUGCUGUUUCGUUAUAUAAAAUACAGGUGGUUCAAGGGCCUGGAAAUGCCGAAAUGAGAUUGUCUUAGUCUUUAGGCUUUUCCUGUUGCUUUUCAAGUCAAGGUGACGGAGACCAUGCUGAGUGGAUUCAGGGCCCAGCCCUGUAGGUACUUAAUGACUUCAGUGUGGGCUUUUAAUCUCCUGCCCAAGUGUUAUCUUACUUGCCCAGACAAGCCUUGCCCAUUCUAGGAGAGUGUGGGAAAAUUAACAAUGCCAGAGCAACCGGGGAAGGAAAGAAAUGUCUGAAGCUAGUAAUGAAUUGCAUUAGUAUUUAUUUUAAUGCGGUCUGGAAACGUACAGCUUGAAAUCUCUGUGCUGCUUAAGGAGAGACCAGCACCCUUCCAUGGAGGUAAAAAAAUAAAAAGAGGAUUGAAAAAUAUACAGAGCAUAGCAAUCUUUACUGCUGGAGCUAGCUCUCAGGAAACCUGAAGUGCUGAAUGUAAUAAAAUGUUGACAGGAGUUUCACUUAACAUGCGGAAACUCUGGACCAGAACGACAUCUUUGGCACCAAAGGAAAUCAGGAGAAUAAAAGCAGUCGUCAGGAUUUGAAGUAAAGCCACAGAUUAUUACCAUCUGUACAUUUUCCAGACCCCGUGCAAAACCAGAAAGCCAGGACCCAGAUCGGAGAGAAACAGGAAACUUGGCAGAGGGGGAUGCUUUUCAGAGUAACUUAAGAAAACUUCAAAGGUAGGACAAAAGAGUGUUCUUUUUUAUUUAUUUGAUAGUGUGUGGCUGCCAUCAAAUUUCUGAUAGGGUCUGACACCUUUAUAAUAAGCCCCAUAGAAACUGGGGGGAUCUGUCAGACACAUGGAAGGAAAAGUAAACAAUUUCAUUUCCAUCCGAGUUUCCUCAGAUGUAAGUGAGGGCCUUUCCCACGGGGCUCACCUGCCAGGCUUCUUCCUGUAGAAACUUGUCUGUGCUACCAUUAGUCAUUUGCCGAGGGAUUAUAUUUUGGCAGCCACGCUAAUCACUCCAAGGCGACCCACUAGUUGGAGAAACGGAUCCUUCUCCGUUUUUACGGAGCACGAAUCCAACGAUGUGAGUCGUUCUUUGGGGGAAAAACGAUCAAAGUGUAUUUUCUCCCCAGGCCGCUAAUUUCCCCAGAUCUCUCCUAACCGGAAGCACUGUUUCUUCCAAAGAAGUUCUAAGUGCCAUGAGGAGAAACACCAGAACUUGGUCAGAUUUCAAGUUCAGGAGUAGACCUGAGCUCCCGGAUGAGAGAAGAAGCCUCCCCCCAACCCUGGGGAGUCCAGAGAACCCCCCGAUGAGAGUGGGCCAUCCUGUCACCUUGGCAGGGCCUCACCCUGCUGCUCUGGGGCAAACAGGGACCCUCCUGCCCACUGUCUGCCGUUGCACCCGACUAGACCAUUUCUGGUGCGUUUGAUGCAAAGGUGAAGUUGCCCUGGCUGUGAAGCUGAAGCCUGGAGGAUGUCUGAAGAGCAGGAAGAAGGCCAGCGUGGAAUGAGAAAUCGGUCCUUGAGGAGGCAGAGUCCACAUCGUGAGGGCCUGAUAGGCUACGGGAGGAAAUCGGGUUUUGUUCUAACUGCAGGGGGUCUCAAGGUCCACUGUCGUCAGUGCCGUGAAAUGACGCGUGAAUUGCUUCCACGCUGUCCCCCCAACGCCGUCUUGCUGAACGCAGGGUAACGCGUCCUCCUUUAGUAAAGCACGUUCACAGGUAGGGUCUCCUUUGAUCCUCAUGACCGCCGUGUAAGGUCCACUGAAAGGUCUGAUCGUGUCCUGUGAUCGAAACCGUGAGGCCUUAAGCCUUGUUGCAGAACUCCUUACCACACCAGGAGCACAGCCGUCCUCCUAUUCGCACUGGUAAUGUCAUAAUGGCUCAGAAUCUUCCUGCCUAAGAAUCCAGUUAACUCCUGCAGGGGCCAGGUGCUCUUGUGUCUCCCCAAAGGUUACCUGCGGAGCCUCCAUCACAAGACGGUGCUCAUGAAAGAAGGGGUCCCUGUCGAGUAAAUGUGGACAUGGGACACAGUGCCCCCUCCCCCUGGAGAGUCCCAAAGUAAAAUGUUGUAAAGGCUCUGAGAAGUUCUGCAGUAAUGAAAUACUUUAACCCAGCCAUUUGCCACCCCUGGCCACAGAACUGCUUUUUAUACGCAGCAUCCAUUGACAUCUGGGUCAGUUCCCGGAAUGCCUUUUGGAAAAUACCAGCCCGAAGAGUUGCUAGUUAGUGUUUACUAAAUGGUCUCUUGAAAGAGUUCAAUUAUUUCGUGAGCCUAAAACUCUUCUCUAUGUGAAAGGAUUAGAAACCACGUUCGUAAAGCACUUCCAUAUGCUUAGCAUGAAGAACCUGGACAAACGGAGAUCCAAGGUGUUGAAAGUCAUAAAUCCACUUCUGUUUUGAACACUCCUAUUGAUUACUUUGUCCUUUGAACUCACAGCAUUUCCAUGACUAUGGUGCCGUGGUGCGCUUGUACUUCUGGAUACGAGGAUGUCAAAGCCGGAACCAGUCUUACCUGGUUUAAGAGAUAAAUGUUCUGAACCACGCAUGGCUUUGAUUUGGGAUUAUUAUCUACGAGGAUAUAUAUGUCCAUAGAAAGGAGUCCAUUUAUAGAUCCCUUGCAAUCUUCUGUACCUGUUGCCGUACAGAUUCCUCCUUUUAAUUUUUUUCUUGCUCUUACCUAGGGAUUUACACAACUAUAUCUGAAGCUGCAGGAAAUGUUUUUGAUAGAUGUUCACAGAAACCUUCCUGAAUUCUGGCAGAGUUUGUGGGAAAGUGCCUGAUUCACUUCUAGCUUCACCUUUAUAAUUCCUCGCAGAUUUUCAUGUUUCCUAACACUUGUGUUUCUCCCCGUUUCCUAGCUCGAGCUCCAUCUGUGUUGUCUUCUUCAUUUUCUUAACUCUGUGGUCCACACUUUUAAAAAAUAUUACUUUAUUUUAAUACUCUGCCUGGAGUUCAGCACUUCUUAAAUUAGGUUCUCAAAACAAAAAAUUUUGAAAUAUGAAGAAACACAGAGGUAAAUGGGGUUUUUUACUGCAGGACUUCUCAGUGCCUUUAAUAUUCUAAUACACAUUGUUAAUCUCCAGAAGGGAGAUAGAACAGUAUUUUCCUGACUUAUUUAACUACUGAACCUCUACCUCAACCCCUUUAAUAGCAUCUUGUAAGAAUGUUAUUCUGCAAAUUGCUCUUUGCAUCAAAUCCAAACCUCUCGACCUAUAUUUUCCUUAACCAUUUCUCCAGCAUUAUGUCCCAUUACCCCUUUGAUUAUCUGUCCUAGUAAAACCAGUUGUUUUAUAAUCCUCCUGAAAAACGUUGCAUUUCCCUGGGUUUAAUCUCUUCUCAUGAUAUUCCCUGUGUCUUCCCCGUGGAUCCAGUGAUCUUUCCUAGCAAAUCUGGAAUGGUUUAUUUUCUUUCUUCUGCACCUACAUCAAAGAUCACAGUUCUUCAAAUCCCAGCUACUCUGGGAAGACUUUACUGACCAAGCAAUCCACUAAGAAUCUCUCUUGGAGCUAUUAUGAUCCGUACCUCACCUUUAGCCAGUACAGGCUUACCUCGGAGAUAUUGUGAGUUCGGUUCCAAAUAUUGCAAUAAAGCGAGUCACAGGAGUUUUUUGGUUUCCCAGUGCAUGUGAAAGUAAUGUUUACACUAUACUGUAGUCUAUUAAGUGUGCAAUAGCAUUGUGUCUAAAAAACAAUGUCCAUACCUUCAUUGAAAAAUACUUUAUUGUUGGGCUUCCCUGGUGGCGCAGUUGUUGAGAGUCCGCCUGCCGAUGCAGGGGAACCGGGUUCGCGCCCCGGUAUGGGAGGAUCCCACGUGCCGCGGAGCGGCUGGGCCCGUGAGCCAUGGCGGCUGAGCCCGCGCGUCCGGAGCCUGUGCUCCGCAACGGGAGAGGCCACAACAGUGAGAGGCCCGCGUAUCGCGCAAAAAAAAAAAAACAAAAAAAAACUUUAUUGUUAAAAAAUGCUAACCAUCAUCUGAGCCUUCAGCGAGUCGUAAUCAUUCUGCAAUAGUAGCAUCAAAGAUCACCAUCACAAAUAUUAAUAAUGAAAGAGUGUGAAAUAUUGCGAGAAUUACCAAUAUGUGACACAGAGACGAGGUGAGCAAAUCAUGUUGGAAACAAUGGCACUGAUAGACUUGCUCGACACAGGGUUGCCACAAACCUUCAAUUUGUAAAACACGCAGUAUCUGUGAAGGGCAAGAAAACGAGGCCUGCCUGUAUUGUGAAUGUUUACUGACUUGUGGUUUAUCACAUAUAUGCUGUCUCUGCUCCUUGGGGCUAAAACCUUUGUGUGUGUGUGUGUGUGUGUGCGCACGUGUGUGUGUGUGUGUGCGUGCGUGUAAAAUGUCUCGCUGAGCUUUGCGCACAGUGGAAACUCCAUAUCCAAAAGGAUAGUUUGUAUUUUGUGUAGAAGAUUGAUUAUCCAUCUCUCUUCCCGGAUACUAGGAGUAGGAUGGGGCAGGAUUGUUGGGUUACCUACGUCUUGGUCAAUGAGGUGGGCGGAGGCUUUAGAAAAGGAACGAACAAUUGCUGUAGAAAUCACAGCAAGCAAACAUAUUAAGCACAUAGAAGGGUGACUACAAAGCACUGUUAGUUUCCCUAAAUGAGCUUACAGUCUGUUGGGGAGAUACACACAAUUUAAUAAAAAGGCCAUGCUAGUUGUACCCCAAAUCAUGAUAGGAAUAUAGAAUUGAGGCUGGUUAAUGUAGGGUGGCAUGGGGGGGCUGCAGGAAGGCAGAUACAAGGCACGUAAGGGAUGCGAAGAGCAAGAGUCGCCAAAGAAGAAAUAGUGAUUUAGGCUGAGAAGAAAAACGAAUUACGAAUUCGGAAGGCAGAGAGGAGAGAAAGGAAAUUCCAAGCAGAGGGGAAAAAUCGUGUAACUGACGCCUAGAAACAAGAAACCUUGGCGUGUAGGUUGCAUGGGGAGACACUGUGGAGACCGAGGUGGGGUUUGGGGGAGUCCUGUUGUGAAGGCUUUGAACCACAUGGGCACGGAGCGGCCAUUGGAACAAAGUUUAAACCGGGGAGUGGGGCUUCCCUGGUGGCGCAGUGGUUGAGAGUCCGCCUGCCGAUGCAGGGGACACGGGUUCGUGCCCCGGUCCGGGAGGAUCCCACAUGCCGCGGAGCGGCUGGGCCCGUGAGCCGUGGCCGCUGAGCCUGCGCGUCCGGAGCCUGUGCUCCGCAACGGGA